rnacentral:piRNA from 1 species
UAGGUAUAGGCAUAGGUAUGGAUAGAUGU